UAAAGGAUAGCUUAGUGGUUUGACUGUUGGACUACAAAUCUGGAGACCAGGGUUCGAUUUCCUGUUAUGCCA